UUACAAUGCUUGUGUCAUGAUGACUAUCAGGUAAUUACAGGUAAUGUAUUUCUGUUUACCCUUUACUUUUCUUCAAUGUAAUGAUUAAAUGAACAUGUUGUUGUUUGUCUAAUUUCAAUAUUUAUUCAUUUUGGCAGAUUUUAUGCUAAUCUCUCAUUUCUCUUUUUUACUGUGCUUUGUGUAAGGUAUGGUUUUGUUAAUACAUAUAACAUAAGCCAUUAUUCUAUGGCUUAACCAUUUUCUUGUGAUCCUUUUUGGUUUCUUUUGAUCAUAUUUGAAAGGGAGAGCCAGCAGUUGAGGUUAUAAAUGAAGGCGUUGACGCUGCAGGGCAUUCAAUUGGUGUAGUUUUGAUGGCUAUGUUCAAACUUAGGAAGGUUCUCAACCGCAAGAGUGUGUUCAAACCAACCUCACUGGCUAAAGCUUCUACCCAAGCAAGUUCAGCUCAACUGAAGGCUAAGAGAUAAGUAGUCACACACUAGUUUUACUAGUUUAUCAGAUGAUAGGGAGGGAUAAUCCUCACAUUAUAUAGUUGUUGGAAACUGUCGUAUUAGUCAAUGAAUGUCAUGAAUCUAUAUUAUAAUGUAACAAUCUGAUUUAGUUCAAUUUCCUAAUCUCUGUUUAUGUCAUUAAUAAAAAGCAAUUAACUAUACUUGUUUCCGUUUUCCAUGAGUAACUACAAAUAGAAUAAGGCUCGCCACAUGUCAUCUACUUGUUUGCAUUUUCAUUUUAUGUGACCUUUGCUAGCAAUUUUGCAGGGAUAGGUUGUUUUCGAUUUACCCUUAGUUUUCUUCAUUGCAAUGAUUAAAUGUACUUGUUCUAUCUAUACUUUUCUUGUUCAGUUCAUUGUUCUGACUUUAAGGUUAUCUGUGAUCGGCUCCGUGAUAUUUACAAAUUGAUGCAGGGACACUUUUGAGUUGGGUGGCUAGUCAUGCUCAACAAGCUGCUAAAGUGUUCAAGGACCCAAAAUUCCCCCGGUCUACUCUAUUAGAAGCACAAUCUGGUCUUCAACUCCAACUGUGACUGGAUGAGUGUCAUUGACAUGGGGGCCUGCUGGAACAUUGGAAAUGGGCAGAGGGUGAAAAUUUUGUGUGAGAGUUGGUUCCCUGCCCUCGGGUCAAGCUGAGUUUGAAGUGGGGAGUCAUGCCUCCAAUUUAAUUUAUAGUUCCCCUAAUGAAUCCUCAAAUUAAUGCUGAAGUAGGCUGGUUUGACAAAUCUGACAACUCUGUCGGUUCGUUAACGUCACGCAUCAUCAGCGUUACUGCCGUGGUCAAGAUCAUAAUUGCUGACCGCCUUACCGUGAUUGUGCAGUGUGUUUCCUCCAUACUUAUAGCAACAGUUAUUAUCAUGUUUGUCAACUGGAGAAUGGGUUUGGUGGCAUAGGCUGUGCUACACAUUUUAGCCUAGUCUGCCAAAGGAUUUUUGGCAACAAAUAUAAGGACUAUGGCAUCAUUUUGUCACAAAAUACAAGUACUGAAGAAAGCCAAAACAAAAAGUACAUGAAAAAAAGUACUAUCCAGUAUGGGAUCAUCCGAGGCUUAUCCCUUUGCUUGUGGAACAUUGCACACGCCAUUGCUUUGUGGUACACUAUAAUUCUGGUCGACAGACAGGAAGCCUCUUGUGAGGAUAAGUUGAGUCCUAUGUUGGUAGAGACAUGGUGCCUUUUGGUAGAUGGAAUCAGACUUCAAAUUUUGAUAAAGACCUAUAUAUGAGAUAACUAAUCAAAAACAAAAUUGGACACCGAAUUGAAUAAGCUACAAAACUUAAUACAUGUAUGUUGACAACUAUUUCUUUUCUGUGUUUAUUUUCCUUAUCCUGCUGCAUUUGCAUAUCGAUAUCAAGUCUAGUAUGUUGUUCCUGCAAAAAGACAGUAUCAAAUGAUCCUUCUCUUGUGGGGUAAAUCCUUUCUUUUCUUUCCUUGUAAGCUGUAGACUUUUUUGAUAUUCCUUUCUUUGCUGUUGUCUAUCCAUCUCCACCUGAUUGUCAUUCUUCCCGCGCUGUGAUAUUGCCACAUGCUUACUCUCGACCAUGACUUGUCGUUUAUAUCCCUUUUGCUGAUGAGGUUCUCUGCUGAAUUCUUGUUGAUGCAUCAUUGGUGGAUCAUACUCAAUCUGUUGUGCCAUCCCUCUGAGAUGAGGCAGGGCAAGCUCCUCUUGUUGAAUUCUUGUUUCCUUGAUUUCCUGCUUCGUAGAAGUUAUGUUGAGCUCCUGCUGUUGAUCUAUUCUGAGUGAUUCUCCUGCUUUUAAUUUCAGUCCUGCCAGUUUUUGCAUUCCUAUUAAGUAAUGACCUGCUGAUUUGAUUUGUAUCUAGCACCGAGCUUCUCAAAUUCCUGUUCCUGGUGUUUCUUUAUGCCUUGUUGAAUUUCGGGUUCAUAUUGAAUUUGGUCUUGCCAUGGUUUCUUGCAAAGUGGAGCUUCUGCGCAGAUACGAAAGAUCAAGACACCAAUAUAUUAGCAACUAAAAUUGAGAUUGCUGGUUGGAUUUAUUUGACAGUAAUGUAUAAAAGAGGAAACUAUUGCUCUAGUAAUUUAUACUUGUGUAAUGUAAACUUACAAAUUUGAUGAAAUACUAGAAAAAGUAAUUCACAAAAUGAGUGAAUUUUGGUUGAUCAAUGUGAUUUCUUUGUACUAUCUACCACUGCACACAAUAGAAUAGGUUUUCAA